rnacentral:misc_RNA from 1 species
UUUCCGUAGGUGAACCCGCGGAAGGAUCAUUAAAUAGUACCACAGAUUACGUAUGCAAAUAUGACAAUCUACUACUAUAUACCAUUCCGAGUACUCUUUUUCCAUGUUGCUUCCGCGAGGCAGUCACUUCAAGUGCCGUUUGCUCCGGAUCUCCCUUCUUGGAGAGCCGGCUGUGGGCGAGAUUUCCUUGCGAAAGGUCAAUUACAAAUCCAAUUAGGUUUUUAUUUUGUGUCUGAAUAGAUUUUUUUUUUCUUUCUUUUUUUAAUUAAUAAAUACAAAAAAAAUAAAAUAAAAUACAAAACUUUCAACAACGGAUCUCUUGGUUCUC